GUUCAUUCACAUAGAAAAUUAGAGAAAACCCUAGCAGCAGCCGAGCCUCCUCUUCUCCACCUUUGCCAAGUUCAUCCUCCCUUGCCAGACCUUGGAAGGACUUCUCCACGAAGGUAGCAGAGUUGGUGACUUGAAGCAUUGAAGCCGAGCAUCCCUUUGGCGUCAUCAAGCUUUCUUGGAGAUUGAUCAAAGUGAGCGCCCUUUAAGUCCCCGGUCAUAUCGACCCCUUCUUAUCAUAUGCUAUAAACGACAAAAAAGGGUUCUAAUUGUCACACCCGGUUUUCGGUGUCCGUCAUUUUUGUUAAAAGCAUGUGAUAUCAUUGAAAUAUAUGAUCGAUGUUUUCGCUUAUCAGAAAAGCAUGUAUUGAAUGUUAUUUUACGAGUAUUGAUAUUUGAUUGCAUACAUAAUGCAUUGUGAGGAAACAUGAGAAUAGUGAGAAUGAUGAUUCUAGAUAGGAGAAUGAGAUUGAUACAAUAGAUACAUUUUAUGUAGUUGAGUUUCCUCAUAGGUUGUCCUCGGGAUCUAUGAUUAGCCCAGACGUGCCCAAAUGUAGAGAAAGUAUACUCUUUCGAUGGCAGACAUCGAUAAAACUAUCGGGUUGCUGAUCGGGAGACCAUGAGUAUAACAAGAUGACUAACAAAAGAGAUACAGGUGGUGAGAUAUUACUGAUUGUUAGAUCAUAUAUUCGAGACACUUGAGUCACCCCGGUUGGUAAAAUACACGGUAUGGGACGUGUAGGCUCACAUGUCUUUGAUGUAUGGACUAAUAGCCAGUAAUUGAGAAAGACAUUCAUUAGCAUACAUGCAUCGAAUUAUCGUUUUAUUUGUAAAGUAUUGGUUGGCAUUGUUUGACAACUUAAUUAUUUGACAUAGUUAAGUAUAACCUAAAGAGGUUUGGCCCUACUGAAUGUAAGCUCACCCCUAUAGAAUUUUGUUCAGAUUUGUAUGAGGUACGCCACGUCUUUCGAGAAGUCUAGUUUAGCUGACGUGUAUAAGAGCCAAUAAGGAUUACGGAAGACUAGAAGUGAGAUAGAACACCAGACAUGUUUGUUUCGUCUUUGUAAUUAUUUUUAUUAUUGUAAACGUUUUAUUUCUUUUUAUUUUUACAAUUUUUAGAAAAGUAUUUGAAAUUGUUUUAUUUUCUUUUACUUUUUCCGCUCACGCCUCGGGUUCGACGUAAGGUGCUUGGAAACCACCGACAUCGGGUCCGGGGUGUGACAAGUCAAUCAAGCGGUGGGAUGAUUGGUGAUGAGCGGUUAGGCGUUGCGUACAAGCUUGGCGGCCGGUAAGCAUUAGGGGAAGUUUUGAACCUCUUCUGCUCAGGGUGCCCACUAUGGUGGGUGCUCUUAGCAGUUUGAGCAGUUUAGGGCAAUGGGUCUAGAUCGGGUU